AACGAACGCUGGCGGCAUGCCUAAUACAUGCAAGUCGAACGAGAUCUUCGGAUCUAGUGGCGCACGGGUGCGUAACGCGUGGGAAUCUGCCCUUGGGUUCGGAAUAACUUCUGGAAACGGAAGCUAAUACCGGAUGAUGACGUAAGUCCAAAGAUUUAUCGCCCAAGGAUGAGCCCGCGUAGGAUUAGGUAGUUGGUGAGGUAAAGGCUCACCAAGCCGACGAUCCUUAGCUGGUCUGAGAGGAUGAUCAGCCACACUGGGACUGAGACACGGCCCAGACUCCUACGGGAGGCAGCAGUAGGGAAUAUUGGACAAUGGGCGAAAGCCUGAUCCAGCAAUGCCGCGUGAGUGAUGAAGGCCUUAGGGUUGUAAAGCUCUUUUACCCGGGAAGAUAAUGACAGUACCGGGAGAAUAAGCUCCGGCUAACUCCGUG
rnacentral:rRNA from 1 species